ACGGCUCACCAUGGCAAUGAUACGUAGCCGACCUGAGAGGGUAAUCGGCCACAUUGGGACUGAGACACGGCCCAAACUCCUACGGGAGGCAGCAGUAGGGAAUCUUCCACAAUGGACGAAAGUCUGAUGGAGCAACGCCGCGUGAGUGAAGAAGGGUUUCGGCUCGUAAAACUCUGUUGUUAAAGAAGAACAUAUCUGAGAGUAACUGUUCAGGUAUUGACGGUAUUUAACCAGAAAGCCACGGCUAACUACGUGCCAGCAGCCGCGGUAAUACGUAGGUGGCAAGCGUUGUCCGGAUUUAUUGGGCGUAAAGCGAGCGCAGGCGGUUUUUUAAGUCUGACGUGAAAGCCUUCGGCUCAACCGAAGAAGUGCAUCGGAAACUGGGAAACUUGAGUGCAGAAGAGGACAGUGGAACUCCAUGUGUAGCGGUGAAAUGCGUAGAUAUAUGGAAGAACACCAGUGGCGAAGGCGGCUGUCUGGUCUGUAACUGACGCUGAGGCUCGAAAGUAUGGGUAGCAAACAGGAUUAGAUACCCUGGUAGUCCAUACCGUAAACGAUGAAUGCUAAGUGUUGGAGGGUUUCCGCCCUUCAGUGCUGCAGCUAACGCAUUAAGCAUUCCGCCUGGGGAGUACGGCCGCAAGGCUGAAACUCAAAGGAAUUGACGGGGGCCCGCACAAGCGGUGGAGCAUGUGGUUUAAUUCGAAGCUACGCGAAGAACCUUACCAGGUCUUGACAUACUAUGCAAAUCUAAGAGAUUAGACGUUCCCUUCGGGGACAUGGAUACAGGUGGUGCAUGGUUGUCGUCAGCUCGUGUCGUGAGAUGUUGGGUUAAGUCCCGCAACGAGCGCAACCCUUAUUAUCAGUUGCCAGCAUUAAGUUGGGCACUCUGGUGAGACUGCCGGUGACAAACCGGAGGAAGGUGGGGAUGACGUCAAAUCAUCAUGCCCCUUAUGACCUGGGCUACACACGUGCUACAAUGGAUGGUACAACGAGUUGCGAACUCGCGAGAGUAAGCUAAUCUCUUAAAGCCAUUCUCAGUUCGGAUUGUAGGCUGCAACUCGCCUACAUGAAGUCGGAAUCGCUAGUAAUCGCGGAUCAGCAUGCCGCGGUGAAUACGUUCCCGGGCCUUGUACACACCGCCCGUCACACCAUG
rnacentral:rRNA from 1 species